UUAGGAACACCGCCGGUUAUUAAAGUCCGUUAAAUCAAAGCUAAUUCAGCUAGCUACAAAAAAUAAUAAUAAAAUCUCAUUCUGUCCUGCGUCUCUCCUGUCAGCUGCGUGACUCGGGUUAAAAAUAUAAGCGGGUAACGAUGACAUUACGUCAGAACCAGCUAACUCGGAUUUAAUCAAUCUUGAACGCUAUGAGGGAGAAAUAGCAGCGUUAGCGUCGCAUGCUAACGCUAACAGGUCGGUUAGUUAGUUCGUUAGUUUUAUUCGGUUACGCUUGAUUUCAGCUCGAUGUGUGUGUGUGCGCUCGCGCGUGUGUUUUCAAAGAGUGAACGCGUCGCUGGAUGCUGAAAAACUUUCAGACCGAGUCACUGGCACGCAAGUACCGCGUCAACACACGUCAGCGACCCGGGGAGCCAUUAAAACUCCGCCAUCUCCGAGCAGCAGCAGCAGCGCCCGGAACCGCCGCCAUUACAGCGCCGUCCCGCCUGAGCAGAGCCUCACGAGCAUGUUAGCCUCGACCGAGAGAAAGCGCGCGCACACACACACACUCACACGCGCGCGCGCAGCUACCUUUAACAGCUCCUUUAAUCCGCCGUCGAUGUUCCUCAGAUGUCGGUUAUCCAGAUGUGACGUAAAAAUAAGGCUGUCUUAACGCCCCGCCCACUAGAAAGAUGUGUGACGUCAUCCCAGCAAAGGCGUUCUGAUUGGUCGCACUGCACAGUACUCUACAGUCAAGUCUGUCUUAACAAAAAAAAAAAAAGUUGUUUGUUUUCCUUCGACAGCACGUCACCAAGUGUUUUAUUCCUCUUCUACCACAGGGACCUGACAACGAUAGCCAUACUCGCCAUACUCCGUCGAUACUCCAUCGAUACUCCAUACUCGUCGCCACCGGGAUAAAUUCACACAUUUAAAAUCUGAAUCCCGUGUUUAUAUGUUCUGUAAAGCUGCUUUGAGACAGUGUCCAUUGUAAAAAGCGCUAUACAAAUAAAACCGAAUUGAAUACUUUUUUAAUUUGUUAAAGUUAAGUUAAAAUAUGUUACUUUUAUAGUUGCUGCCUGAAGUACACAGCUUGUCACGUUACUGAGAAACCGCAAGGAAGUGUUGUAAACUCCUCUGUCCUGAAGAUGUGGGAAAACUUACAGCUUCACCUCUGACACUGGAGAUUCCUUCCGUAGACGUCAGAUACAGGUCUUCUCACAAAAUUUGAACGAUCGCACACAUUCGUCCGCUAUAUACGUCCCUGCGAAGGAGCUGUUGCUCUAGAACGAGCGCAUUAAUAUGAACCUGUCAUAAAUUGAUAUGAAAAAUAAAUGCUGUCAGAGCUGCCGUUAUAGAAAAUUAAUCAACACCUGACGACCAAUCAGAAGGUGGAAUAAUAAUAAAAAAGCUUCAAACUGUCAUCGUGUGUGAUCGUGAUAUCGUUGGGUGUCAGGAUUACAGUAAUGAUGAAUUGUAAACUUGUAAUUAUCUGUAAGAAACGAGUAAUUUUUCAAAAAGAUCCGACUUUUAAAAAAAAAAAAAAAAAAAUUUCCAAGAAACACACAGAACGUGGAGCGAAGUAUCUAAUUUAUAUAUUAAGAACAUAAAAUCUGCUGCUAAUCUGUGUUACUUAUACUUAAUUACAAAUAACUUGAUUGAAAAAAAUAGGCAUCACCUGACUACUGAGAAACAAAAGAUGGGUGAAACACUUAUUAGCAAGAUAACAAGAAACUUGUUAGGGUUUUGUGUGUGUGUGUGUGUGUGUGUGUGUGUGUGUGUGUGUGUGUGUUUAGCCCCGCCCCCUUGUGUAAACGUCAAUUCACCACAAACUUACCAGUCACGUAAAAAUGGUAGCGUCUCUGAAAUGUUUAAACUUCUUGAUUCCUUUCCUCUGUGUGAUGUGAUUCUUGUCGUGUCCUGUUUGUUGUUCUUGUACGGUUCCUGAAGAAGCCCCGCCCUUCUCCAUUCCUGUUCAGGUGAAGAUGUGCUACCUCAUGCUCACAGAACUCAUUAUCUGAUGCACACGAGGGCUGGGUGAUACGACCAUACAGUAUCGAUAUCGUGAUCAAUUCUGUCACAAUACGCUUUCCUGAGAUUAUAUUCUUCAGGAUCAUUUUCAGCCUGGAUUCUUCUAGUUUAUGCUUUUUUUAAUGAAAAAUAACAUUAAUUGCAUCUUUAAUUUACUAAUUCAUUAAAGAAAGGAUCAUAUCAACUUGACACUGGGUAAAAAAAAAAAAAACUGAGGUAAUUCAGGGAAGAUAACUUGUCAUCAAUCUCUAGGGGGCGCUGUGGUGCACGUUUUUGCAGCGCUCCUGAACAAUUAAACUCAGAAUCAAACUUGAUCUUUAUUUAAAUUUUAAGCUUCAGGUCACAAAAAUUGGCCAUGUGGAAUUUCAAGCUCCACCCACAUAGACUUUCACUGUUUAAAACUUUUUUUCAAAAAUGAUAUUUUUCUUAAAAUCUUGACAAAUCCAAGGUCAAACUACUCAGCGGAAUCUGUAGAAAACAUAUAUUUUUUGUGAUGUCAUACUGUCAUACCCCCAAAACAUUUAGUGGCCGUGGCUAGUUCACCCAAACACUAAAUCCUCCAGUUUUCAUCUGAUCCGUACCAAACCUGGCACACAGGUACACGGCGAGGCCCUAAAGCCGAGCCCGGACGAACACCCGUGUAAAUUUCGCACUAAAUCACCGACGAUGCUCGACUCCGCUCUUCAAUGAGGAUAACUGUGGAAACGUUUUAUAGUGUGAACGAUCUUCAUGUGAUCUCCACAGUUCUCCACAAGGUGGUGGAAUGUAUUUCAAUGAAUUUUUAUGAUGUACUAAGAAUUUUAAUGAUUGUUUAAGCUCUUUGUUCAGAAAACAAAUGACGUUGUGGGAACCGACGUAUAGAUGUAAAGAACAGGACCAACGAUGUGAAAUAAUAUCUUUCACAUUUCAUUUUGAAUGGGAAACAGACUGAGAAUGCUAAAAUACUGUUUUCAAGUUUACAUUAAGGAUAAACUCAUACAUUUAAAAUCUAUAUCAUGAAAUUAUAUGUUUCUGUAAAGCUGCUUUGGGACAGUGUCAACUGUUCAAAUAAACUCGUGAACUCGGCCCAAGUCAGCAUGCUGUAUAAAUAGCAUUGGGCCAGUAGGGGGCGCUAUAACGUGGGAAUAACUGCAGUGUAUCACUGUGGAUCAGUCUGGAGUCACUGUACAGCCAUUUCUGUUUUGUUUGUUUGUUUUUUCAGACGUCACUUUUAUAAGUCUUCACCAUGUUUGAUGUUUGUUGGUCUCCAACUUCUUCACAUUUUCUUUUCUGCAGUAUAAUUACUGUCAUUAUAAUUCAGAUUCCAAACCUUCAGGCUACUUCACCACUCUGUAACACAUGAAUGCUGCAAAAUAAAUGCCUUUUAUUCUUUUUUUUUCCAUUUAAAUAUAAAAUAGGAAUUAAACCAAUGUACAAAAUGAAACAGGAGAAAGUGAACAGGGAGGAGAGGGUUGCAUAAUAAUCAUGACGUGCACAUUCAUACACCGCAAUAUAGUGGCACGAAAUCAUCAUCAUUAUUAUUAUUAUUAUUAGUAGUAGUAGUAGUAGUAGUAGUAGUAUUAUUAAAUUAAAACACAAGAGAAGAAUCUUAUCAGGUCAUGGGCUGUGUCUCAAACGGUGUACCUUUAGUGUGAACAGUGUGAUCACAUGAUGUCCUAAAGCUGUAGAAAAGUGUUCUAUAGUUUAGUGCAAAAUCUUUGAUUUAUUUAUAACGUGAUCUGAGACGUUACUGUAUUAGUACUGCUACUGUAGUGUAUAGUGCAGAUUCCUGAUCUAGUGCUCUGUGUGUGUGUGUGUGUGUGUUUGUUAGCGUAUCCCACAAUGCAACACGCUCAUUUCAUUUUAUCAGGAAAAGGCGGGAAAGCCUUUUCUGCAGGGUUGCCAGGUUCAGGAAUUUUAAGUCCUUUAGAUGAUUAAUAUCUCUAUAGAGGGUAUGCGCUGGCGUCACUUUCCCACCGGGACACGCCCCCUCGGCCGACUGAGCGGCAAAACAUCCAGCAAGAUGGCUGGAUUUAAUAGG